GCCAGGCGUGGUGGCACACGCCUGUAAUCCUAGCUACUCGGGAGGCUGAGGCAGGAGAAUUGCUUGAGCCCAGGAGAUGCAGAUUGCAGUGAGCUGAGAUCGUGCCACUGCACUCCAGCCUGGGCAACAGAGCAAGACUCCGUCUU
rnacentral:SRP_RNA from 1 species